rnacentral:rRNA from 1 species
UGGGGAAUAUUGCACAAUGGGCGAAAGCCUGAUGCAGCAACGCCGCGUGAGUGAUGAAGGUCUUCGGAUUGUAAAGCUCUGUCUUUUGGGACGAUAAUGACGGUACCAAAGGAGGAAGCCACGGCUAACUACGUGCCAGCAGCCGCGGUAAUACGUAGGUGGCGAGCGUUGUCCGGAUUUACUGGGUGUAAAGGGUGCGUAGGCGGAUGUUUAAGUGAGAUGUGAAAUACCCGGGCUUAACUUGGGUGCUGCAUUUCAAACUGGAUAUCUAGAGUGCAGGAGAGGAGAAUGGAAUUCCUAGUGUAGCGGUGAAAUGCGUAGAGAUUAGGAAGAACACCAGUGGCGAAGGCGAUUCUCUGGACUGUAACUGACGCUGAGGCACGAAAGCGUGGGUAGCAAACAGGAUUAGAUACCCUGGUAGUCCACGCC